CCCCAUUACUGUCGUCCACUAUUUUCCCUUCUAUCACGUCUGUUACUUUCUUUUCUUUCUUUUUAUUUUAUUUUAUUUCCUUUCUGCUUCUUCCUUGCACCUUUCUUGUGAUACAAUCUCUAUUUCCCUUUCAUUCUUUUGCUCGUAUUACCUUCGUGCUGGAAAUCUGCCUUUCUGUGUUCUACCUUCAGCACUAUUAAUCUUCCGUGCAAUUGAGCGUAAGUGUUUUGCUACUGGAUUUUUUAGAGGUUUUUGAAGGAUAAAUUUGUUACUUUUAUGUGGUAUAUAUUUAAUAUGUGUGAAGCUUUGUUUAGGUGAGGAUCUUGAGACAAACGUUUCUCUGAUGAAUUAAUUGUUAUUGGGAGUUGUUGCUCGUUUUGGGUAUAUAAUCAUUAAUUGAGCUUGUGGUUAAUUGGUGAUGUUAUUAUUAUCAAUUGGCAUUUGUUGUUGAUUUGACGGAUUAGUUUUAGAGAAUCGUUAUUGAAUUGAACGCUCUAAAUGUCGAUUUCAGGUUCUAGUAUUCGCGAUGUUGGUUUCGUAUCAGAAAAUAUUUAAGUGAGUGACUCGAGCCCCACUAUCGACGUCGCACGGCUGUGUGGCAAACCAUGUGAGUCACAUGACCUUAUGGGAAACCGUACGAGUAACACGAUCGUGUGCUAAGUCAUGUGCUAGACCAUGUGGACCACACAGUUUAGAUUGUUUAGGUCGUGUGGCCCACAUAGACAUGUAUGAGGUUGUAUGGAUCACACGGGCUGGGCUAAUUUGGCCGUAUGGGCCACUCAGGUGUGUGGGUCCAUUUCCUGAAAAUGUUGCUUAAUUUUGUACUACUGUGUUAUUCAUAUUUAGCUAUUCCGUAGAGUCCAUACUGAACAAAUAUGACUCGAAAAUAUGACAUCCAAUAGUAUAUUAUUGUUAGUAAUAUGGGCUUGGUUUGUGAAAUAUGUUGACAUGAUCUGUAUUCUGAUGAUGUUGAUAGCAUGAUUUGAUGUGAAAAAUAUGCUUGACAUAAGCAUAUUUAAUUUCUGUUAGUAUGUGCAUGUGCAUUAGGGUGGAAUAUGAUGUGUCAGAGGAAGUGCGAUAGUUAAUAAACUGUCUAAUAUGGUGGUUUUAACCAUAUAUAUCAGUUCUGGUGGCUCAGCUACAUUUAUCUGUUUCUAGCGUUUUACCGUAUAUUAUAUUUGCUAGCUGGUCCGCACUAUUACGAAAAGUGGCAUAUGCUCACUUAUAGGUGUGUGGGGUUGAAUGGGUAUUUAAUACCCUAUUUGGUGUGUAGGGAUGGAGGGAGAUGGUGUGUAGCAGAUGAGAGUAGGAUCUGAUUUUUGCAUCUAAAUAUGUGAAUAUGAUUAUGAAGAUAUAUCUAAAUCUGAUUUUGAUUGUGCAUAUAAAAAAGGUAUCAGAUAAAUUAUAUAUGUAUGAUCUGUUGUUCGAAAUAUGUUACACACUGAGCUUAUAGCUCACUUUUUGUUUGUUUUUCCCUUAGGUAACCUAUAGACUUAGGGCGGAUGGUAUGGCUAGAGCUUGGUUGAAAAUCAUUGUUUUUUUUUUCUAAUUAUUCUAUUCAAUUUAAAAAGUAUUCACCAUUGGACUAUUUUUGGACUUUUGGGGAUUUUUUAUGUUUUUUUUUGAAUUGCUUUAAUGUUUUAGAUUAUUUCAAUUCAAACUGCAAUGCACUAAAUUUUCAAAAUCAAAUUACUAUUUUCAAAACUCUAUUUUAACUUAAGAUUUCCAUUGCAAAAUUUAAGUAAUGUAUAUGUGUACUUCUAGAAUUAAAAUGAAGUAACUGGAAUUAAAAUGAAGUAACCGAGUAAGGUAAUUCUACUCUAAAAAUUGGAAAUAUCAUUUAUAAGUAUUGUUUUACGAAAUGCUUUAGAAUUUUAAGUUUCUGGUUAUCAAAUGAACGUUUGUAAUUUCUCAGAAUUUGGCCAUAACGUUUAGGCCAGGUAUAGGGUGUUACAUUUGGUGGUCAAACUGUUGGAGAGGACGCAUUAUCCUAAGCUAUGUUGAGAGUGCUUAAGAGGGUCACUGGGGCCUAUACUGGAUCUGGUAGGUGAGGGUUAAUAAGGGAAUGAAUUUGGUCUAAUAGAGUGGAAUUGUUUAGGGGUGUUGUUGAAGUAAUAUGAGCUUGGUUUGUGAAAUAUGUUGACAUGUUUGUAUUCUGAUGAAUUUGAUAGCAUGAUUUGAUGUGAAAAGUAUGCAUGACAUAAGCAUAUUUAAUUUUUGUUAGUAUGUGCAUUGGGGUGGGAUAUGAUGUGUCGGAGGAAGUGCAACCAGUAAUAAGCUGCCUAAUCUGGUGGUUUUAACUUUAUAUAUCAAUUCUGGUGGUUUAGCCACAUUUAUCUGUUUCUGGCAGUUUACCGCAUAUUAUAUCUUGCUGCUGGUCUGCACUACUAUGAAAACUGAUAUACUCUCACUUAUAGGUGUCUGGGGUUGGAUUUGAUUUUAUAUGAAUCUGAUUAUGAACAUAUAUUUGAAUUUGUUUCUUAUUAUGCAUCUGAAAAGGGUAUAUGAUAAAUUACAUGUGUCUGAUUUGUUGUUCGAAAUGUGUUACACAUUGAGCUCGUAGCUCACUUUCUGUUUUUUUUUUUCCUUCAAGUAACCAACAGACUUAGGAUGGAUAAGGUGUGGCGGGAACUUGGUUUAAAAUCGUUAUUUUAUUUCUAAUUAUUCUGUUAAUUUUAAAAAGUAUUUUCCGUUGGACUAUUUUUGGACUUUUGGGGACUGUUUAUGUUUUUAGGAUUUUUUUCGUGUUGAAUUGUUUUAAUGUUUUACAUUAUUUUAAUUCAAACUACAAUGCAUUGAAUUUUCAAAACUAAAUUACGAUUUUCAAAACUUUGUUUUAACUCAAGGUUUCCACUACAAAAUUUAUGUAAUGUAUGUGUGUUUUUUUUCUGUAAUUAAAAUGAAGUAACCAAGUAAGGUAAUUUUGUUCUAAAAACUGGAAAUAUUGUUUUCAAGUAUUAUUUUACAAAACACUUUCAAAUUUUAAGUUUCUGGUUAUCAAAGGAAUUUCUGUAAUUUCUCAAGAUUCGACUAUAACAUUUAAGCUAGAUAUAGGAUGUUAUAAACUAAGCCAAAAUUUGUUAAUGACAACUCUAUUUUUUAGAUCCGUGUCUAUUUUGUUAGGUUCAUCCCUAGGCUGUUAUCAUAGUUUGGUAACUCCAUUGAAGACUCUGGUUUCGAGAGUUGAUCUACUUUAGGGCUUGGCUUUAAGCUUUUUGUUGUAAGUUGUAUAUGUGACUUUAUUGACCAAUUAAUUUGAAUUUUUUCUUUCUGUUACUUGUGAUUAUAUUUGUUGUAAAUUCUCAUUCACUUUGCACAUGAAUUUGAUUAUCUACCUUGAUCCGCUUUAUUAGGAAGAGUGGUCUCAGGCUUUCAUGUGGUCAUUUUCACUGCAUAAGUUGUUUAUUUAAAUCGAUAGUAAAUCUAUCAUUUAUUUAUUUAUUUAUUUCUUGAAGCGUUUGCAUGUCCAUGUAUAUAAUUAAAUAAAAAAAUAAUAUAUAAUGUUGUAUGGUUCAAAGUUUUUUUUUAAAAAAUCAAUAGAAAAAAAAUUAUAAUGCGUUUUUUAAAUCAGAUUGGACUGGUAAUUAAUCGAGAUAUCGAUCUAGAGAAAGUAAAAGAUCAAUUGAUUUACGAAUUGAGCUAAAAACAAUUGAAUUGAUAGAAUCCUAUUUUAUAAUUAUUAAUAUUUUAUGUUUUUAAACAAGUUUUUUGAUUUGAAGUGAACAGACUAAAAAUCAACGACCUAAUUUGUUUGAUCAUUGAUCCAGUUCAAAAAUAUAAGCUUUUUGAAAUUAUGUAUUAAGAGAUUCCAAUUUAAUUUGGAUUCUUCAACUUAAUGAUAACUGAAUUUAUUUAAGGUAAACCCAAGUAGUUUACAACUCUAGUAUUUAAUAUUACUAGCUUCUAGUGUCACAGGUAUUGUGUGUGAUUUUGCACAUUUAAUAUUUAAUUAAUUUUUUAAAUAUUUUAUUUUAAUUGCAUUAAUUAAUAUGAAAUAAUAUUUAUUAUUUAAAUUAUUGAAUAUAAUUAAAAUAUAUUAACUUACAACAAAUAUAUAUUUCAUAAUAUUAGCACAAUUUUUGUUUCUGUCAAAUAUUUUUUUACUAAUAAUUGUGAAUAUAAUAAUAAUAAUAAUAAUUAAUUAUUAUUAUUAUUAUUAUUAUUAUUAUUAUGUUUAGAGUUCUAUUCAAGUAAUAACUCUAUUAUGAAAUUAACACAAUUUUUUUAACUAAUAAUUGUAAUUUAAAUUCUAAUUAUUUUUUAAUAUGUGAUUAUUAGAACUUCUAUUAAAUUAUAAUUAUUUUUAAAUGUAUAAUUAUCGCAACCUCAAUUUUAUUUUAAUUUUUAAUUAAUAAUUCUAGAUUAAAUAUUAUAAUUAUUUUUAAAAGUGAAAUUUAGUAAUACCUCGUCAAAUCGCAAAUUGAAUAAUGUAGGUUCUAUAAAUGGAGAAAACUGCAAGGAAUUAGCUGGAUUAGCAUAUUUGGAUGGUUUUUAUGGUUGGUGGAGCUUCUUUGAAGGCAUUUUCUUCAUAUUUUGCACAACUAUGCUUAAGUUAUACAUUUUGUGUUUUUACUUCUCUCGAUCAGCCUGAGCUCAUCGAUAUCAUUUCGUUUAACAUCCACAAGGAGCUGGUAAUGCAUAGUUAAAACUCAAGGAGCUUUGUUGUCGGAAAUUUUGAUAAAUUCUUAUUGCAAGAGAAGAGACUAAGCUAGUUUGUUUAUUUGCAGGGAAAAUCUGAAGAAGAAUAUGAACAAUCAGAGGAGUUCCGACAGGAUUUGAAAUUGAAGGUUCGAGAGUUGUUGAAAGAGCAGUAAUGGCGUCGGAGAAAAAUGGCGAUGAGGGUUUGAUGGAUUCUGUUAAUAUCUCUUACUUUCUUUAGUUGUUCUCGUUCAAUAAAGGCUUACUAUUACUAUGGUGAGUUAAUCACCUCUUCUUAUUUCAUCUUUAGAUAUCAGAAAAAGAAGACGAAGGUCAAGGAUGAAGAAGAGCAAAAGGAGAUGUGGAUAACUAGGGUUACCUUUCUUUCGAUUGAUGCUAUUCUUGGAUUUUGUAUCCCCGUUUGGAGGUUUUUUUAUUAAUGAAUUCAUCGACUUAGGAAAAGAAAAAAAAUACCUUCAAGAGGUCAAAUAACAUUGAGUGUAACAAGAUAUAUGUAUGCUUGGGCAACCACAAGACUCCACCAAUGUGACAAAUAGAGAUGCUAAAGGCUUCAAUCAAGAGAAAUUGUUUCAGGAUU
rnacentral:lncRNA from 1 species